rnacentral:rRNA from 1 species
GAUGAACGCUGGCGGCGUGCCUAAUACAUGCAAGUCGAGCGAACGGACCAGAAUUUUGCUUCUCUGAUGGUAGCGGCGGACGGGUGAGUAACACGUGGAUAACCUACCUUUAAGACUGGGAUUGCUUCGGGAAACCGUAGCUUAUACCGGAUAAUAUUUUGAACCGCAUGGUUCAAAAGUGAAAGGCGGUCUUUCUUUCACUUAUUGAGGGUUCCGCGCUGCAUUAGCUGGUUGGUAAGGUAACGGUUUACCAAGGCAACGAUGCAUAGUCGACGUCGGAGGGUGAGCGGCCACACUGACACUGAGACACGGUCCAGACUCCGACGGGAGGGAGCAGUAGGGAAGCUGACGCAUGGGGCGAAAGCCUGACGCAGCAACACCGCGUGAGUGAUGAAGAUCUUCGGAUCGGAAAACUCAGUUAUUAGGGAAGAACAGAUGUGUAAGUAACUGUGAAGGUCGUGACGGUACCUAAUCAGGAAGCAACGGCUAACUACGUG